GACACGCAACAUUUGCUAUUUCUGCUACUUUUUCUCUCUCCCUCUUUUCUUGUUUGCGGAUCCAUCCUUGCUUGCGGCUCUUCUUCUUCGUUCGCUAGUUUAGGGUUUAUCAGUACCACUUAAACCUAACACGCAAAAAAGGAUGCAGGGCAAAGAAUCUCAAGGUUCCAAUGAGAACCUUGAGGCUAAACAGAAAACACCCAUGUUCAAUAACUUGGGUGGGAUGAAAGAUCUUUUGAAGAAACUGAUAGCUCAACUGAUUGUUCCAUGGUAUCAUCCUGCGAUUUUAAGAAAGCUAAAUGUUACUCCUCGUACUAGAAUCUUGCUGCAUGGGCCAAGCGGUUGUGGCAAGACCACACUGGCUCACGCGAUAGCUAAUGAGACUCGUGUUCCCUUCUAUCAGAUAUUACCAGGUGAUUCUGAAGAAAGCAUCAGAGCUAUUUUUGCCGAAGAUUGGAAAGCGUGGAUCAUCUAAUGGCGGAGCUACAAAUAGUCAAGAUUCUCUUGACCUGGCCUUGAGAGGAUUGUUUCAGCGAGAGCUUCUUCUUGUCAUUAUUGAAGCGUCAAGACGAGAUAUCCUUAAGUUACUGAUCUGCAAACCUAAGGGUUCAUUCGAUCUUGAUGAAAUAGUAAGGUAUAAGGAGGCUAAUCUAUUGUUAUAGCACAAAAUCAUUUGUGAGGGGAGAAGGAAACUAUCUCAAAAUAUUCCAAAACGAUGGAAGCAAUUUUUCUAGGGUAAAGAUUUGGACGUCAGAACGUCCGAUUUCCAGGUGUCCUAAAUUUGUUUUUUUGUUUACUUUCUUAUUGUUAAUGUUGUUAUAAUGUUAUUAUAAUUGCUAUAAUUGUUUAAUUUCACAUAGGAAUUUGUGAAAAAAAAAAGUGUAACUUUGAUUAAUAAGAGAGAAUUUCUUAUCCGCUAUUCUCAAUGUGAAAUAGGAAGAUGUCCAGGGACUAGAUAGUUUAAGAGAGGAUUUAAACAGGAUUUAAACACCUCUCUUAAAUUAUCCAGGCCCUCGACAUCUUCCCAUUUCACAUUGGGAACAGCGGAUAAGAAGUUCUCUCUUAUUAACGAAAGUUGCAUUUUUUUCAAAAAUUCCUGAAUGAAAAUAAACAAUUAUAGUAAUUAUAAUAACAUUAUAGCAACAUUAACAAUAAAAAAGUAAACAAAGAAACAAAUCUUAGAGUACUGGAAAUUCGGAAGUUGUGAUGCCAUGUUUAUCCAAAUCUUUACCCAAAAAGGUUGCUUCCACCCGUCUGGAAUAUACGGAGAUAGUUCCAUUUGUCCCUCACAAAUGAUUAUGUACAUUAACAAUCUGCCAAACCUUCUAAAUCAGCGGCAACAUAACCUGUCGUAGACCUUACUAUUCCAUUAAGAUCGAUUAACUCUUAAAGUUUGCAAGUCAGCAACUUAAGGAUAUCUCGUCUCGAGACUUCAUCAAAAAUGGCAUGAACAAACUCUCCGUAAAAACAAUACUCUCAAGGCCGGGUCAAGACAAUCCGAACUAUUUGGUAACAGCCUCUUCAUUCUUGUCCUAAUUGCAUUGAUGAAUUGAUUUUUCCCCCCUACCCUUGAAAAUAUUGUUUAGUUGAAUUUCAUAGGUUGAUGAAUGUGAUUGGAUUAUCUAUUUUAGGCAUAUGGGGUUGCAAAUCUGACGGGAAUGGCUCCCUGGUUGUAGUAAAACUAUUAUUGCCAAAGCUGUUGCCAAUGAAGCGGGAGCUAAUUUCAUUCGUAUUAAGGUUUGUCUAAAUACUUCAUCUUACCUUAUUCAUUUUUGGUUUUGCUUCAAUGGGAAUAUUGACAAAUGUAUACAUGAAUAAAAUUACCGUUUGGAUAUUUUUAUCGCGUAAAAACCAUCUUUUGUGGAUACAAAACUAAUCUUGUUAAUUUAUGGUUAAUAUUGUCAGUGUUUUAAAGUUUUAUAGUUAGAAAUGGCAGUUUACUCGUUCAUUUAUUGAGAUUAGUCUCUUUCGAGAAUUCGAAAUCAACUCUUGAAUUAGGAUUCUUGUAUUCUUUUACAUUGAUUUGGGAAUAAUACCUGUUAUCUAUCACUAUUCAAUUAACUUCAGGUGGAUCAGGCAUUGAACGAGUAGUGAAUCAGUUACUAAUUGAGCUAGACGGUGCGGGACAACGCAAAAUGUUUUUGUCAUUGGUGCAACAAAUAGGCCUGAUAGGAUGGAUGAGGCUCUCCUCCGUCCUGGUAGACUUGGUAAACAACUUUACGUUCCUCUGCCAAGCACUGACCAGCGGUUUUCAAUAUUGAAAGCUCUUGCAAGGAAGGAGCCUGUUGAUCCUACCGUGGAUCUGAGAGCCAUAGCUGAAGCGUGUGAAAAUUUAGUGGCACAGACCUUGCUGAAUUGGUUUGUCCCUGCUAUAUCUUUUUCUGCUUGUUUUAAUAAUCCUUUGAAGGAGGAAUAAUGGGGGGAAGAAGUUAUUUUCUUGAUGAUACAGGUGGAUGAAGCAACUUGUGCUGCUAUUGAUGAGAAAUUGACCUCAGUUGAAGCCUCUAGUGAUACUAAUACUUGCAAGCCAAGACAUUCUGAUAUAGCACUUAGUCAGGUCUUUCCCUCAGUGUCUUCGGCGAAAAGGCGGAAGUAUGAGCAUGAGCGCUCGGCAAAGCGAUUUAAAGCAUCAUGAAGAUCAUGGAACUGGUUGUUCUAGGAGAUAUAACCCUCCUCUUCUAGUCGACUGAAACUUACUUCAAGUAGCAGCACUACAAGAAAAUGUGUAUUAAAAUACUUUUUAGCUGGAAUAUUAAGUUUUAACACUUAUUUCAGGUUA